AAUGAUAGUAGAGGUUGCGCUACUUAUUAGUAAACUGUAUGAUGUCCCGGAGACAGGCGAUUACAGAGGAAAGGAUGUGGCGCCGAAAGGAUUCAUUCCGGAGAUGAAUUUUUGGGUAUAUGGUUAAGAGCCAUAUAACUGUCAUUAGGAAGUACCCUGAUGGAGAGCUACUUAUAAG
rfam:Eubacterium sp. CAG:156 genomic scaffold, scf38